GCUGUUGUAGUUCAGUGGUAGAAUUCUCACCUUCCAUGCAGGAGACUCCCAGGUUCGAUCCCUGGCUGGUGCA
rnacentral:tRNA from 1 species